GACGAACGCUGGCGGCGUGCUUAACACAUGCAAGUCGAACGGAAAGGCCCUGCUUUUGUGGGGUGCUCGAGUGGCGAACGGGUGAGUAACACGUGAGUAACCUGCCCUUGACUUUGGGAUAACUUCAGGAAACUGGGGCUAAUACCGGAUAGGAGCUCCUGCUGCAUGGUGGGGGUUGGAAAGUUUCGGCGGUUGGGGAUGGACUCGCGGGUUAUCAGCUUGUUGGUGGGGUAUUGGCUUACCAAGGCUUUGACGGGUAGCCGGCCUGUGAGGGUGACCGGCCAAAAUGGGACUGAGAGACGGACCAGAAGCCAACGGGAGGCAGCAGUGGGGAAUAUUGCAAAAUGGGAGGAAGCCUGAUGCAGCAACGCCGCGUGCGGGAUGACGGCCUUCGGGUUGUAAACCGCUUUCGCCUGUGACGAAGCGUGAGUGACGGUAAUGGGUAAAGAAGCACCGGCUAACUACGUG
rnacentral:rRNA from 1 species